GGGGGCAUAGCUCAGUGUUAGAGCACAUGCUUAGCAUAUAUGAGGUCCCAGCUUCAAUUCCCAGUACCUCCA
rnacentral:tRNA from 1 species